rnacentral:rRNA from 1 species
AUGAACGCUAGCUACAGGCUUAACACAUGCAAGUCGAGGGGCAUCAGUUUGGUUUGCUUGCAAACCAAAGCUGGCGACCGGCGCACGGGUGAGUAACACGUAUCCAACCUGCCUCAUACUCGGGGAUAGCCUUUCGAAAGAAAGAUUAAUAUCCGAUAGCAUAUAUUUCCCGCAUGGGUUUUAUAUUAAAGAAAUUCGGUAUGAGAUGGGGAUGCGUUCCAUUAGUUUGUUGGGGGGGUAACGGCCCACCAAGACUACGAUGGAUAGGGGUUCUGAGAGGAAGGUCCCCCACAUUGGAACUGAGACACGGUCCAAACUCCUACGGGAGGCAGCAGUGAGGAAUAUUGGUCAAUGGACGCGAGUCUGAACCAGCCAAGUAGCGUGAAGGAUGACUGCCCUAUGGGUUGUAAACUUCUUUUAUAUGGGAAUAAAGUUGUCCACGUGUGGAUUUUUGUAUGUACCAUAUGAAUAAGGAUCGGCUAACUCCGUGCCAGCAGCCGCGGUAAUACGGAGGAUCCGAGCGUUAUCCGGAUUUAUUGGGUUUAAAGGGAGCGUAGGCGGAUUGUUAAGUCAGUUGUGAAAGUUUGCGGCUCAACCGUAAAAUUGCAGUUGAUACUGGCAGUCUUGAGUGCAGUAGAGGUGGGCGGAAUUCGUGGUGUAGCGGUGAAAUGCUUAGAUAUCACGAAGAACUCCGAUUGCGAAGGCAGCUCACUGGAGUGUAACUGACGCUGAUGCUCGAAAGUGUGGGUAUCAAACAGGAUUAGAUACCCUGGUAGUCCACACCGUAAACGAUGAAUACCCGCUGUCUCCGAUAUACAGUAAGCGGCCAAGCGAAAGCAUUAAGUAUUCCACCUGGGGAGUACGCCGGCAACGGUGAAACUCAAAGGAAUUGACGGGGGCCCGCCCAAGCAGCGGAGCAUGUGGUUUAAUUCGAAGCAACGCGAAGAACCUUACCAAGUCUUGACAUCCUGCUGACCGUUCCUUAAUCGGAACUUUCCUUCGGGACAGCAGAGACAGGUGGUGCAUGGUUGUCGUCAGCUCGUGUCGUGAGAUGUUGGGUUAAGUCCCGCAACGAGCGCAACCCUUAUCUUCAGUUACUAACAGGUCAUGCUGAGGACUCUGGAGAGACUGCCGUCGUAAGAUGUGAGGAAGGUGGGGAUGACGUCAAAUCAGCACGGCCCUUACGUCCGGGGCUACACACGUGUUACAAUGGGGGGUACAGAAGGCCGCUACCUGGUGACAGGAUGCCAAUCCCAAAAACCUCUCUCAGUUCGGAUCGAAGUCUGCAACCCGACUUCGUGAAGCUGGAUUCGCUAGUAAUCGCGCAUCAGCCAUGGCGCGGUGAAUACGUUCCCGGGCCUUGUACACACCGCCCGUCAAGCCAUGAAAGCCGGGGGUACCUGAAGUACGUAACCGCAAGGAGCGUCCUAGGGUAAAACUGGUAAUUGGGGCU